UGUCCCCUUCAGCAAUGAAUAUUUUAAAUUGGAAUCACACUGAGAAGAUUAGCAUGGCCUCUGCAUACAUAUGACAUUCAAAUUAGCAAAGCAUUCUAUAUUUUU